CUUUGAUAAUGCUGGGAUGUGAUGGGGAGCGAAAUUUAGUAGCGAAGUAGCUGAUUUCACACUGUCAAGAAAAGUCUCUAUCGAGGUUAAAGGUACCCGUACCGCAAACCGACACAGGUGGGUGAGGAGAGGAUCCUAAGGCCAGCGAGAGAACUGUUGUUAAGGAACUCGGCAAAAUGACCCCGUAACUUAGGGAUAAGGGGUGCCACCAUCAGGUGGCCGCAGAGAAUAGGCCCAAGCGACUGUUUACCAAAAACAUAGG
rnacentral:rRNA from 1 species